GGCGGACUCUAUGGUCGCGAGCGGUCUGGGCGCGACCCCGCCUGGCCCCACGCCUAGCCUGCUCGCGUUCAUUCAUUCAUUAUUCAUUCAGGAGCUUUUUAGGAGCUGUCAUCGACCUAGACCUCCGGCUGGUCGGUUGUGAGGCAUGAGGGAGAGGAGGGGCCAGGAGUGUCUCGCGGAAGGGUUGAUGAUGGAGGUAUUGAUGGAAAUGAAGCCGGAGGAAGGGCAGGUUUGGGGAAAGGGAUGAGUCCAGCUGUGCCUUGAGGGACAGAAGUCCAUGUCUGGAGCCCAGCAGGGGAGUGGAGUGCUGACGAAUGAGAUGAGGGGCUGAAGACGGGUGGACUAGAAGAGGCUACCCAUGGAGAGAGUUCCAGGAGGCAGAAGUGCGGCCAGACCGAGGCUGGAGAAAGAGCGCAGCCAGAGACGGAAAGGCAGCCAGGCUGCAGGAUAGUGAUGGGGGCCAAGGGCCCUGCUGCACACUUGGACAGGAUGAACUUGGCCCACAUUUUGUAGAAUCUGCAAAAGCCCCGGGUUCUCUCAAAAUGUCACAGUGGUAACUUGGAGCCCCUGGACUCCCCCAAUUCCUCCUUCGGCAUUCACCCUCCUCCAGGGGUUUCCCCAUAAUUGGCCUGAAUGGUGCCCUUCCCAUUCCCCCAACGUGUCCCUCCCAUAACUCCUCAAAGUUCAGGAUACACCAGGCGCUGUGAUUCACAAUAAAGUCUGCCUUUAUUGA
rnacentral:lncRNA from 10 species